rnacentral:rRNA from 1 species
ACGGAAGGCAGCAGUGGGGAAUAUUGGACAAUGGGGGAAACCCUGAUCCAGCGACGCCGCGUGAGUGAAGAAGUAUUUCGGUAUGUAAAGCUCUAUCAGCAGGGAAGAUAAUGACGGUACCCGACUAAGAAGCCCCGGCUAACUACGUGCCAGCAGCCGCGGUAAUACGUAGGGGGCAAGCGUUAUCCGGAUUUACUGGGUGUAAAGGGAGCGUAGACGGUAUGGCAAGUCUGAUGUGAAAACCCGGGGCUCAACCCCGGGACUGCAUUGGAAACUGUCAAACUAGAGUGCAGGAGGGGUAAGUGGAAUUCCUAGUGUAGCGGUGAAAUGCGUAGAUAUUAGGAGGAACACCGGUGGCGAAGGCGGCUUACUAGACUGUAACUGACGUUGAGGCUCGAAAGCGUGGGGAGCAAACAGGAUUAGAUACCCUGGUA